rnacentral:lncRNA from 1 species
GAGUUCAAAUGUAUACCCUACUUCAUCUCCAGGCACUCUUGGGGUUUGUUCUGCCACAGAACCAAACUUCUUUGCCGUAAGUGUAGCAACCAUGUUGGCAAUGCUUAUGUCAGGAAGUCUCCUUACCCACUUGUGUUGGAUGAAUCGGAUUCUGCCCCAGCCCCAGCCACAGCCACCACUGACAUCUCCACUUGUAGAAAAUAUGACAUUCGACUCCGUGCCCUGCAGCCCUCAUCUUCUGAGCCCUCUGCCAUUCCGCUUCUCACCUGAUCUGCAGAUUCAAACCAAGAAUAUUCUUAUGAGGGACUGUAUAGCAAUUGAGUCCUUUGUUUUUGGUCUUGGUUUUCUGCUCUUUUGUAUUACUAGAUAGAUGGUGAGUCGGUGACUUGUAAAUAUCAGUUUCCCAGACUGGAUUAUCAAAGUUUAUUUUUACACUUCCAGUAACUUAUAAAUAACGCGGUCGAUGUGAUUUCUUGUCACUCAGAUUGUGCCCUUGUUCUCACUGUUCUCUGUUAGCCAUGACCAUAAUCACAACAUAUCCUUCUAACCAUUAUUCACAUAUCUUGCCCACUUUCCUAUUCAAUUUGGAAACUGGAAAUGUUCAAAAUUCAACAAACUUUCCUUCGCCACGCCCACAGUUUAUGUCAUUGGAUCGGAGUUUUGGGUAAAAAUAACCCAUUUAUUAAAAAAAUAUAACAUCUAACUAUUUUUUGAAACUUAUAUUCAAAUUAACUUUUUUGGUGCCACGUAGGCGUCAUGUAAUUAAAAAAUAUAUAUUUUUUAUUAUUUUAGUUAAAGCGUUAGUUGGUAACUGAGGCUUCAUUUUAAAACUAAAACUAUAAUUAUCAAUUGAGACUUCAUUUUUGAACUAAAAUCGCAAUUGUCAAUUGAGGUUUUAGUUAGUUUUUUUUAAAAAAUUAAAAUUUUAAUUAAAAAUUAUUAAAUUAUAAUUUAUAAUUGAAAAUUUAAAAAUAUAUUUAAAUAAUAAAUUAUUUAUAUUUAAUCUUAAGAAUCUAGUAUUACUUCAACAAAUAUCAAUUGAUAAAUAAAAGAUAUUAUAAAUAAAUAUUUUAUUUAUUGAUAAAUUAAUAAUCUUAAAAUAAUAAACUUAUAUAACAUAUAAAUAAUAUAUAAAAUUGUAUAAUUUAUUAAUUUAUGAUACUUAAUUUGUUAUUUUUUAAGAUAUUAAUUUCUUUGCAUUAUGAUAAAUUUAUCUUUAUUGAAAUAAUAAUAUACUUUUAAGCCGGAGUUGUUAAUUGAGAUUUCAAUUAUAAUUUUUUUUUACUUUCAAAUUUAAUUAAAAACUAUUAAAUUAUAAUUUAUUAUUGAAAUUAAAGAUAUAUACUUUAAUAAUAAAUUAUUUAUUUACUAAUUGAGAUUUCAAUUAUAAUCUUUUUUUUACUUUCAAAUUUAAUUAAAAACUAUUAAAUUAUAAUUUAUUAUUGAAAUUUAAAAUAUAUACUUUAAUAAUAAAUUAUUUAUAUUUAAAUUAUAUUUAAAAUGAAGUUUCAAUUACCAACUAAGACUUUAGUUUAAAAAUGAAACCUCACUUAACAAUUAGACUUUAGUUCAAAAAUGCAAUUGAGACUUUAACUAAAAUAAUAAAAAAAAAUAUUUUUUUUAAUGAUAUGACGCUUGUGUGACAGCAAAUAGGUCAAUUUGAGUAUAAGUUUUAAAAAGUGGUUAGAUUUUAUAUUUUUUUUAAUAAAGGGGUCAUUUUGACCCAAAUCUCAUUAGAUUAGGCAUGCGGACGUGGGCGUUGAGUAUGCUUUUACGUGCGAGUGUCUUGCUACCUUAGGCACGAAACCCUCCUCUUCCACUCAUUUUGUUGCGGAAGGAGGCCAGGCCAUUCUUAUUCAAACAAAUUAGCUGGGAACUUUGAAAUCUUAAACCGUCGUAGAUAUGUGAUAAACUAGUACACCUUGUAUGAGAUAAUCUAAUCCUGAUUAUUGCUAACAUUGUCAAUUUUAAUCAGCUCCGGCCUGUAUGUUGUUGGACCAGUUGCCCACAAACAUGUAGUUCACAUGGAAGUGGGUCCUGAGGUCAGUACCUGUUACAUCUCCAACCACAAAAGAAUUAACUAAAGAUCAAAUGUGCAAUACGAGUACAAUCAGUAACGGGGCAGUGCACUGACUCAAUUAAAUUAUAUGGUUUGACCAUUAAACACUUUGAAUUUCUUCAUCACGUAAUCCAGUGCACUGACUCAAUUAAAAUUUACAAGAAAAUUAUAUGGUUUAACCAUUAAACACUUUGAAUUUCUUCAUCACGUAAUCCAAAAGUCUACGUUCUCACAGUAUUUCUCAACUUCAUUCAAUUCCCUCCUUCCCCAUUUUAAUACCCUCCUCCUCCUCCUCUCUCUCUCUCUCUCUCUCUCUUUCUCUCUCUCUCUCCAUGGAGUCUCCCAGCACCAUCAGAGUUGCCACUUCUCUCUGCUAUUUUUGCGUGCUUUUAUCUUUUACUACCACAGUGAUCGACCCUGUUGUUGCUUUGGAAAAUUGCAAAUUUCCAGCAAUCUUUAACUUAGGAGACUCCAAUUCAGACACAGGUGGAUAUGCUGCUGCCUUCUCUCAACCUCCCUGGCCUUAUGGGAGGACCUUUUUCCGCAUGCCAGCAGGCAGAUUCUCAGAUGGUCGCCUCAUGAUUGAUUUCAUUGGUACCAUUUACCUUCUCUUUAAACCUAUUUUCUGCAUAUCUACCUCUCAUUGGCCAAGAGCCAGUGUUUAUAAAAUCGGUACAGGGGAUAAGAAAAGCCAAAUUCAGACAUUCAUUUUUUAUUUCAUUUUCCAUCAAAAUUAGAAAAAGGGCUAGGAAAUGUACUGUUUUAGUCUAGGACUAACCAAAACUUGGCAGCAUUAUUGACUUGGUCAAAAUUUACAUGGUUUCAGCCAACAGUUUUGGUCUACCAUUUCUCAGUGCUUAUCUUAAUUCUCUGGGGUCCAAUUACACAAAUGGUGCAAACUUUGCCACGGCUGCUUCUACAAUCCGACUACCGACUAGCAUAAUACCUGCAGGUGGGCUCAGUCCAUUCUACCUGGACUUGCAAUACGAUCAGUUUGUGCAAUUCAAGUCCAGAACACUAAAGAUAAGGAAACGAGGUAAAUGAUAAUUUAACAUUAAUAGACGUUUUGUAGUGCAUAGCUAUAUAAAUGAUAUUUUUCUAAGUGGCUUUUAAUGAUUUUUAGGUGGGGUGUACAAGGACUUAAUGCCCAAGGAGGAGUAUUUUCCCAAAGCUCUAUACACGUUGGACAUCGGUCAGAAUGAUCUUGGUGAAGGGUUCUUUGCUAACAAGUCAAUCCAGGAAGUCAAUGCAACUGUCCCUGAUAUAAUCAAUGGUUUCUCCACCAAUGUCAGGGUAAUCCUUAGAUUAGGGACUUCGAUUUAAUGUAUGUUUUGAAGCAUUUCCUUUCUGGNNNNNNNNNNNNNNNNNNNNNNNNNNNNNNNNNNNNNNNNNNNNNNNNNNNNNNNNNNNNNNNNNNNNNNNNNNNNNNNNNNNNNNNNNNNNNNNNNNNNUAUGUUUUGAAGCAUUUCCUUUCUGGGUCUCGUUUUUUCAUAGCUUUUUUCUCUCUGUCACAACUUAUUGCAUAGUACUGAGACUAUGUACAUGAAUGAAUCACAUGAUGAUGCAGCGUAUUUACAAGUCGGGAGCAAGAUCAUUCUGGAUUCACAACACAGGACCCAUCGGCUGCCUCGCCUAUAUCUUGGUCAAUUUUCAGGCAGCUCAAAGGGACAGCGCCGGUUGUUCAAAGCCUCACAAUGAAGUGGCUCAGUACUUCAACUACAAGUUGAAGGAGGCUGUUGCCCAACUCCGGAAGGACUUUCCUUUAGCUGCAAUUACAUAUGUCGAUGUCUACUCUGUCAAGUAUUCCCUCUUUAGCCAACCCAAGAAAUAUGGUAAGCCAUAUGAUGAUAUAUAUAUAGGAAAAUAGUAGCUCGUGUCAUCUAACUUUAACUCAUUUAUGCACCAUGUUGUUAACAAAUGAUGCUUUUCUCAUAAUCUGCAGGGUUUGAGCUUCCACUUGUGGUUUGCUGUGGCUAUGGAGGUGAGUACAACUAUGGCAAUGAUGCCAGCUGUGGUAGUACCAUUACUGUUAAUGGUAGCCAAAUUUUUGUGGGAUCAUGUGAGCGCCCUUCACUUCGAGUGAAUUGGGAUGGAGUUCACUACACUGAGGCAGCUAACAAAUUUGUUUUUGAUCAAAUCUCCAGUGGAGCAUUUUCAGAUCCGCCUCUGCCCUUAAAAAUGGCAUGUCAUAGGAACGCUUCAUAUUGAAGGCAGACCAACGUGCACUUCUGUUGGUAUUAUCAUUAAUGUAUGCUCCUGGUUCUGGGUAAUAAGUAAUAAGCAUCAUGCAUUGAUCAAAGGGUAGCCUAAAAUGUACCUUUCUUGUAUGUAAUAAGCAUCAUGCAUUGAUCAAAGGGUAGCCUAAAAUGUACCCUUCUUGUAUGUAAUAAGCAUCUAACUCAACAGAGUUAGUGUACUCAUGCUCUCUAAUAUAUUUGGCAAAGCCCAUGUCCUUUAUUGCAGAACCUGCACUUCAUUUGUUAAAUUAUUAUUGUUUCACAGACAUGAAUAAGCCUGUUUUAAAAGGAAAUUGAGAGCAAAAAUGAAAAUAAAAAUAAAAAUGGGGCUGUGUAGAAAGGUGGGUGACGUGGGUCUAAUUUAAUAGUGACUUGAAAAUAUCCGAAGUAUGAUUCUUUGAAGAUUGAAGAAUCUUCAUAGGGUGUUUACUUCAAAAUUACACCUACCUUAAAAGUUUCCUUGAAUUGAAUUUAGCACAAUAGACACUCAUCAAUUAAACCAACCAAGAUAUUGUUUUGAUACAUUUUUGGUUGUCUAUUUUUAAAAAUAUAAAAAUAAUAAUAAUAAUAACUUUUAUCCAAAAAUGAUACUGAAAAAAAAAAACUUUAAAAUUUAAAAAUGAAAGAUAAAUUCAUACAUUUUAUAUAAUAUUUACUAAUUUUUUUAUUAUUUUUAUUUUAAAAAUAGAAAAUAUAGAAUGAAUAUUGUAAUUAACACUAAAUUUUAAUAUUUUUGAUAUGCAUUAUGGGGAAAUGGACAUUGAUCAUUUUCUAGAAUGUAGAAUUUUUAUUUGCAUAAUGAAGCAUAAGUUUUUGUUUGUAUGUUAGCCAAUACCUUACUUGUGGUGGAAAAGCCAAAGACACACAUGACAAAUUUCUAUGAAACGUUAUCUUCCAAGUUGCGGGUCCAAAUAUGCAUGCUGUGUCGUGUCGAGAAGAAUUAGCCAGGAGGCAACAUGUGAGCUCCUACAAAGUCAAGGCCUCCAUGAACGUGUUUGGAAUUUAUUUUCUCUAAUAUUAUAUAUAAAUUCAAAUUUUAGAUCUGACAAAAUCUUCAAGCUCGUGAAAGAAACUAAUAAAAACGAAUAUGAGACUAGAGUUAACUGCAAGGCUUUUAAGGUCAUGUUUGUCUGAUUUCAUGCAGCCUUAUCUUACUGCAAAGAUCACACGUAAGUUUGAAGAAAUUUUUGUAACUGAGCUUAAAUAUCACCGAGUCCUAGAAAUUAAAUUCAGUGGAAAAGUCCACCUUGUCACAGUAUACAAAUUUUUGUUCUCCCUUUUUGGAUAAUUACCCUUACAGGUAGGCUAGAAAAAAUAUGAUUGAUAAGGAUGGGUAUAUUUAAUAAUUCUUCUUAAGGGUAGGGUGAAAUUAAGAUAAUUUUUCUAAAGACCUUAUUUUUUUUGAAUGUCAAUACUACCCUUAAUAAGUGAAAAUCAACAGCAAAAUGUAAGAUUUUUGUCGAUAUUGAAGAAGAAAAAAAUCCAACACUUCAGGUUAUGAUCUGAAACCCUUUUCACAAAGCUUGUAUUUUUGUGUGAAUCUAGUAAGAAAUCCAUUAAAGGUAAGAUUUUUUUAUAAAAAAAAAAAAGCUGAAAAAAACAAAAAUACGUCAGUUUAUGCAAAUAAAUAAAUAAAUAAAUAAGUAAUUUAAAAUUUGGAUUGAAGGAACGAACUGUUAAUAAUUUUAACAAUGUAGAUCUAAAAUAUUAUAUCUGAAAUAUUGAAUGAGGUUUUGAGAAAGAAAUUACAUUUUUUGUGUUGAAUUUUUUUAUUUUAUUUUGGUCAUAUUGAAGAUGUGUUUUUAUUUUUAAUUUAUUUUUUGGGUGAGUUAUUUGAUAUGAUUAUUAUUGAUUUCCAUUAAAAAUGUUUGCACUUUAGUUUUGUUGUUGAGACUUGCUUGACAUGAGAGAAGAAAAAAAUUUCUCAAUUGUUUCAUGCUUUUUUGGAACCACUUUGUUUGAGUAUUUAUGAACAUAUUUGGAUUUUUAUUGAAAACUGAAAAUUAUAAUCAAUUGAGACAUAUUUUAUAUAAUAAAGAACAAUAUUUUUUGUAUAUUAGACAUGUAUAUGCCAAAAAACUCAUAAUUGCCCUAUUUUUAUAUAAAAAAUUAAUUUUAUAGAUUUUUUUUAUACAUCGACAACUUUAUGUAUUGAAAUUACAAUAGUGUAUUUUUGUUAUCUUUUUAUAAUUUUGGCUUGCAAAGAUGCUUUAUGAUAGGAAUACAACAUGAUAGCCUAGAAAUGCUAGUUUAGUAAAAAACGAAUUCAAUAUUUUGUCAUUUUGGUAUAUUAUAAUGUAUCGUAAUGUUAAUAUUUUUUUCAUUAUAACUAUAUUGCAUUUGUAUUGUAAUUAUACUUUAUAAUUGUCAGGAGAGAAGGAGAGAAGAUGUACUUCUCAAUUGGUAAAUGGACUUGAAAAAUUCAGGGUAAAUUGGUCUAAUAAAAAUGUAAGACCUUCAUAAGAAUUAUCAAACCUACCAACGUUUUUCAGUAAUUUUUUUCCCCAAUCGGGUAAUUUUCCCUUCCCUUUUCUUCUUGUUUUCAAAAAACCAACCAUAGGUUAUGAAAAUUUGUUUUUUUCUAGUUUUGGGUUUACCGCUGAAGAAAGAGUCUUUGGAUUUUCUAUAAUUACAAACCGAUAGCAAACCCAGAACCAGUCAAUUUGAUUUGUCAAGAAGCGAUAUGGUAUGGAAAUGAGUUUAUUUAUGGAAUAUUUGUAUUUUGGAGGUGUGGCAAUAAGAUGUAUGUUUGAUGCAGCUGUGGUUCUUGUGGGUACGAACUAAAGCUUUGCGAUCCUCUAAUCGGAACACAAAGAAUAUAGGCUCCAAAUAUGGGAAAAACAUAAAACGCGGCGUCAUAUCAUUUCUCCAAGUUGAUGAGAGUGGCUUUACCCUGGUUGAUGAGUUCAAAUGUAUACCCUACUUCAUCUCCAGGCACUCUUGGGGUUUGUUCUGCCACAGAACCACUUCUUUGCCGUAAGUGUGGCAACCAUGUUGGCAAUGCUUAUGUCAGGAAGUCUCCUUACCCACUUGUGUUCGAUGAAUCGGAUUCUGCCCCAGCCACAGCCACCACUGACAUCUCCACUUGUAGAAAAUAUGACAUUCGACUCCGUGCCCUGCAGCCCUCAUCUUCUGAGCCCUCUGCCAUUCCGCUUCUCACCUGAUCUGCAGAAUCAAACCAAGAAUAUUCUUAUGAGAGGGACUGUAUAGCAAUUGAGUCCUUUGUUUUGGUCUUGGCUUUUUGCUCUUUUGUAUUACUAGAUAGAUGGUGAGUCAGUGACUUGUAAAUAUCAGUUUCCAAGACUGGAUUAUCGAAGUUUUUUAUACUUCCAGUAACUUACAAAUAACACGGUCGAUGUAAUUUCUUGUUCUCAC